rnacentral:rRNA from 1 species
UUUUUCCUACGGGGCGCAGCAGUCGGGAAUAUUGCGCAAUGGAGGAAACUCUGACGCAGUGACGCCGCGUAUAGGACGAAGGUCUUCGGAUUGUAAACUAUUGUCGUUAGGGAAGAGAAAGGACAGUACCUAAGGAGGAAGCUCCGGCUAACUACGUGCCAGCAGCCGCGGUAAUACGUAGGGAGCAAGCGUUAUCCGGAUUUAUUGGGUGUAAAGGGCGUGUAGGCGGGGAAGCAAGUCAGAU